GGCGACAUAGCCAAGUGGUAAGGCUCCGGUCUGCAACACCGUCAUCACCAGUUCGAAUCUGGUUGUCGCCUCUA
rnacentral:tRNA from 1 species